rnacentral:rRNA from 1 species
UACAGAGGGUGCAAACGUUGUUCGGAUUUACUGGGCGUAAAGCGCGUGUAGGCGGCUUGGCAAGUCGGGUGUGAAAGCCCUGGGCUCAACCUAGGAAGUGCACUCGAAACUGCUUCGCUGGAGUCUCGGAGAGGAAAGCGGAAUUCUCGGUGUAGAGGUGAAAUUCGUAGAUAUCGAGAGGAACAUCGGUGGCGAAGGCGGCUUUCUGGACGACGACUGACGCUGAGACGCGAAAGCGUGGGGAGCAAACAGGAUUAGAUACCCUGGUAGU